GAUGAAGAACGCAGCGAAAUGCGAUAAGUAAUGUGAAUUGCAGAAUUCAGUGAAUCAUCGAAUCUUUGAACGCACAUUGCGCCCGCCAGUAUUCUGGCGGGCAUGCCUGUCUGAGCGUCAUUUCAACCCUCAUGCCCCUAGGGCGUGGUGUUGGGGAUCGGCCAAAGCCCGCGAGGGACGGCCGGCCCCUAAAUCUAGUGGCGGACCCGUCGUGGCCUCCUCUGCGAAGUAGUGAUAUUCCGCAUCGGAGAGCGAUGAGCCCCUGCCGUUAAACCCCCAGCUUUCCAAGGUUGACCUCAGAUCAGGUAGGAAUACCCGCUGAACUUAAGCAUAUCAAUAAGCGGAGGA
rnacentral:misc_RNA from 1 species